rnacentral:hammerhead_ribozyme from 1 species
AUCCAACUGACGAGUCCCAAGUGGGAGGAAACGAGCUUCCUGGAU